UCGUGCCGUGAUUGGCGGCUCCCGCGAUACCUGGAAGGAAGAGGUUGAAAGAUGGACGCUUCAUGGAGGCGAGGAAAUCGGGGACAUCGCAAGCUUCGGUUUCAGAUCCUGACCCGUCCUAAUCAUCUGGUUAUAAAAUUAAUUUGCAGAGCUGAUAAUCGGAGGUAUAGCCCCAGCAGACAUGAUGGUGAUGGUUGCCAAUCUCUCCCUUAUCAUUGGGACAGUCCUGUUUCAAGCCGUGACCACAGCUGAAAAAAGUGGGCUUUGUCCUCUCUUCGGGCUGCCUGGUGCUAUAAUGAUGUUCAAAUGUCCAUCUGUUAACACAAACGCCUGUGUCAAUGAUGUAGACUGUGAAGGUUCCAAGAAGUGCUGCAGUGAGUACUGUGUCAACAAAUGCCGGGACCCUGGAGAUGAGCUGAGCUAAAC